GACGUAGGAGGCGAGCGUUGUCCGGAAUUAUUGGGCGUAAAGAGCUCGUAGGCGGUCUGUCGCGUCGGAUGUGAAAAUCCAGGGCUCAACCCUGGACCUGCAUUCGAUACGGGCAGACUAGAGUUCGGUAGGGGAGACUGGAAUUCCUGGUGUAGCGGUGAAAUGCGCAGAUAUCGGGAGGAACACCGGUGGCGAAGGCGGUUCUCUGGGCCUUACCUGACGCUGUGGAGCGAAAGCGUGGGGAGCGAACAGG
rnacentral:rRNA from 1 species